CUCAGUUUUGACUUGUGGUGUAGAAUAAUAUUCUAUAUCUAUACAUACAAAAUAUACUCAAUACCAUGUAGUAAUGCUAUAUAUAUAAUGAUUUAUUUAAAAAAAUCCACAGCAACAUACGGGAAAUUCACCUAGUUAUUCAUUAUAGCAAAACCACCUUUAAAACUAAUAUAAAGUACACGGUUUAAAAAAAUUAAGGGCAGACUUUUUCCUUCCUAGAUUUUUUUUUUGAGGAAAUAGAACAAUUAUAUUUGGCUGGGCCGAGCAGAUCCUACGGCGAAACAGCCCACCACAACCCAAAGCGCAGGCGCGCAGCUAUACCCCGGCCCACUCUGGAUCACGAACUCUUCUAGGAUUUCGCUUCGAGUUCUCAUAAAUCCUCCUCGCUGGGAUCUUCCUCCUUCCGUAGGAAUUGAGAACCCGUGGCUCUCUUGGUUGCAGCACGAUCGUGGCACGCCGCCCGCCGCAUCGCCUCCGGUCACGGCCGCCACUGAUCGCGCGAGGUCUGCCCGCCCCUCUUUCACCCCCUCUCUCGUGUUGGUGUUUCAAUCGUUCAAAAGAGUUCGAAACUGGUAAACGCGCCGUGAUAGUGUGCUCCUUGCGUUUAUUCUUCUUACGUUAGGGUUG
rnacentral:lncRNA from 1 species